rnacentral:rRNA from 1 species
UACGUAGGGUGCGAGCGUUGUCCGGAAUUAUUGGGCGUAAAGAGCUCGUAGGCGGUCUGUCGCGUCGAUCGUGAAAACUUGGGGCUUAACCCUGAGCUUGCGGUCGAUACGGGCAUGACUGGAGUUCGGCAGGGGAGACUGGAAUUCCUGGUGUAGCGGUGAAAUGCGCAGAUAUCAGGAGGAACACCGAUGGCGAAGGCAGCCCCCUGGGCUAGCACUGACGCUCAGGCACGAAAGCGUGGGGAGCAAACAGG